AUGACGACGGAUAGACGACAUGUAAUUAACCUGGGGAGAAAAGGCCACCAAAAUUAUGAGGUUUACUCUGCCAAUAGCCCUGAUCUGAAUGGCCUUGACCUUGGGUUCUUCAACUCGUUGCAAUCUCUAACAGAUUGUCUAAGCCCUAGAACGCUUCAAGAUCUUAUCAAGGGUGUGCUAGAUGAAUUUGAAAACUAUGAGGUUUACAAGCUGAACAGAGUUUUCCUAUCUCUACAAGCUUGCAUGGUUGAAAUCUUGAACCAUGCAGGGGGCAAUGGGUAUAAAAUACCCCAUGCGAACAAGGAAAGGCUAGAGAACCUUGGGAUGCUACCUCCAAGACUUACAUGCCCUCCAGAGGUAUAUGCAAAUGCCCUGCACAAUCUUGGGAUAAUGGAGAGAGUUGCUUGUUGA
rnacentral:rRNA from 1 species